rnacentral:tRNA from 1 species
GCGCCCGUAGCUCAGCUGGAUAGAGCAUCGGCCUUCUAAGCCGAGGGUCGGGGGUUCGAAUCCCUCCAGGCGCGCCA